AACGUAGGUGGCAAGCGUUGUCCGGAAUUAUUGGGCGUAAAGAGCUCGUAGGCGGUUUGUUGCGUCGGCUGUGAAAUCCCGAGGCUCAACCUCGGGUCUGCAGUCGAUACGAGCAAACUAGAGUGUUGCAGGGGAGACUGGAAUUCCUGGUGUAGCGGUGAAAUGCGCAGAUAUCAGGAGGAACACCGGUGGCGAAGGCGGGUCUCUGGGCAACAACUGACGCUGAGGAGCGAAAGCGUGGGGAGCGAACAGG
rnacentral:rRNA from 1 species